rnacentral:rRNA from 1 species
UACGGAGGGGGCGAGCGUUGUCCGAAGUUACUGGGCGUAAAGCGCGCGUAGGCGGGUUGGUAAGUCCGCUGUGAAAGCCCGGAGCUCAACUCCGGAGGGUCGGUGGAUACUGCCAGUCUUGAAGGUGCUAGGGGGAGAUGGAAUUACCGGUGUAGCGGUGAAAUGCGUAGAGAUCGGUAGGAACACCAGUGGCGAAGGCGGUCUCCUGGGGCAUUCUUGACGCUGAGGCGCGAAGGCGUGGGGAGCGAACGGG